GGUUCAGCUACUGCGACAUGGCGGGGGAGAGCGACCUUGGCUGCCAUGUGAUGAUGACAAAUCCUUUGCUAUGCAUCAAAUGAGACCAAUUUCGGCCUCUCUUAUAUCUCAAUCUUCUAGUGGCGGUAACUCCAAAUGGGAUCGAGCUAUUCCAAUGGAUCUUGGACCGACAUUACAGUAUCCUCCACGUGCUGGUCAAGUUGUACCAUUUGGGCACCAAACUCCAUCAAAUAGGUUUAAAGAUACGAAUCCUGGUCCUUCUGCCAUAUCACGAACAGCUGCUGAUGAAGGAUCUAGGACUGGAAUUAAAGGGUCUGGAAUUUUGAGUUCUAUCAAUGCAACUGGAGGUGUUUCUGAGAGACAACCUUCGGGAGUGCUCAUACGUACUGAUAAACAGAAGUCCACUCUUCACAUUUCGGAGCCAGAAUUGUCUGCUACACCCAGGUCAAUUCAUGAUACAAGUGAUUUUUCUAAUUUUCUUACCUGAGCUAUCUGCGUGGUUGUCUGAAAGAUUUGAGUUUAAUUUGUCUUUUCUUAAUGACAGUCGACAAAGAAUAGAAUCGGCCAGUCGCCAAAUGACUAUAUUUUAUGGCGGUCAAGCCCAUGUUUUUGACAAAGUUCACCCCGAUAAGGUCUGCUUUCUGCACUUUUUUGAUCAACCGUUUGACUGAUACAUACCUGAUCAACUGCUUUUUGUACUAUUAACUUAAACAGAAGUAUUUUCAUGUUUAUUUGACCUGAUUAGUACGCGCAGAAAAAAUGCAUCCUUCAGUAUUCCCCGAUCCACUGUUAGAGAAUCUUUAUUAUCAAACGUAAUUUUUACUAUGCUUAUGAGUGUUAUGCUAAUUCUGGAAGUUAUUUGUAUUAUUACCUCGAAGUGGAGGUUGGAUGUCAUUAUCAAGGAAGCCUUUGGGGUUUAUGAUUCAAGGAGUUUGUGCUUUUUACUGUUGGAAUUUGGACAGGAAGGGUAGUGAAGCUCCAGAAGAACAUGUGUAUUGACGAAAGCUUACCUUAAUGGUAGCUGGAAGCCAAGAGACUUUGAUUAUGGUCACUGAGCUUAAGAUCUAAAGGACUAUUUAGAAAAUUUUCUUUGAAGUUUUCUUCAAAAAACUUCCUUAUGCUGUAGGACCCAGGGUUGUGGGGAGCAAGAAUGGUUUGCAACAAAUAGUCAAGUUUUCAAAAAUUUGGCGAGAUGUUCUCUUAGAAACAUUUAGAAGUUUAUAGCUACGGGAUUUUCUUCUUUUAUUGUGUUCACAAUGUGGAGUGUGGGUGCAAGAGAUAUGAUUUCUUUGGGAGUAAGGUUGAUUAGUUUUUGCUCCCUUUCUUUUCUUAAAAACGUGCUAUGGAUUUUGUUUGUUCACCCUUCUGAAAAUGGAAAUGUUUCAAAUUUCACAAGUAUUUUUUUCAUUAUUUUCUGUAUUGCUGUAAUCUCACUUUCAGCUUUUUGUUGUUUUAUGCUUGUACCUGUCUACUUUCUGAGCCCUUUCAUUUCGGCAGCUCUUUCGAUAAAUUGGGUGGUUGUGAUUGGUUUUGUAUGAAGUCAUUGAUGGAGAUAGUCAUGUAUGGGUUAAUUCCGAAUUACUUAGACUGAAAUUGCUAUAUAUGCACCGGCCUUUUAUGUCUUGAUUCCCCAUUGUUGAAUUGUCGAGAAUUUUAAUGCUUACUGGAUGGUACUUGAAGAUUAACUCGUGGUUUGAUAGUUUUUUGAUCAAUUAUGCUAGAAAGACAUGUUGGCAGUCAUUUGGAGGGGAUACCAUUUUAUCGAUCAAGAGGCGAGUUUCCAGGACCCGAUACAAGUAGGUUUGCAGGAACUAAACGAAGUAACUCUGACUCUUUUAUGGUGUCAUCAAAGGAGAAAUUUCCGCAAGUGCGACCAGAAUCACUUGAGAGCUCACAUUUGAUGAAGGUUCGUUCUGUUUCCUUCAUGGCAUGUUAUUUUAGAAUAGGUAAAGGGAUGAGGUCUUAUGCUGGUUUAAAUCUCAUUCCUGAAGUGCAUGUUUUGAAAAUAUUAGACUCCACUAAACAAUACAAUUUACAAGAUAUUAGCUUCUUUUUUUUCUUAUUAAUACAAUCUAGUGCUGUCUGAUUCAUGUUUCCAAACAUGGUAAAAAUGUUUCUAUUUAUCCUGAUACUGGGAGUUCUCUGUUCAGGUUCAGCUACUGCGACAUGGCGGGGGAGAGCGACCUUGGCUGCCAUGUGAUGAUGACAAAUCCUUUGCUAUGCAUCAAAUGAGACCAAUUUCGGCCUCUCUUAUAUCUCAAUCUUCUAGUGGCGGUAACUCCAAAUGGGAUCGAGCUAUUCCAAUGGAUCUUGGACCGACAUUACAGUAUCCUCCACGUGCUGGUCAAGUUGUACCAUUUGGGCACCAAACUCCAUCAAAUAGGUUUAAAGAUACGAAUCCUGGUCCUUCUGCCAUAUCACGAACAGCUGCUGAUGAAGGAUCUAGGACUGGAAUUAAAGGGUCUGGAAUUUUGAGUUCUAUCAAUGCAACUGGAGGUGUUUCUGAGAGACAACCUUCGGGAGUGCUCAUACGUACUGAUAAACAGAAGUCCACUCUUCACAUUUCGGAGCCAGAAUUGUCUGCUACACCCAGGUCAAUUCAUGAUACAAGUGAUUUUUCUAAUUUUCUUACCUGAGCUAUCUGCGUGAUUGUCUGAAAGAUUUGAGUUUAAUUUGUCUUUUCUUAAUGACAGUCGACAAAGAAUAGAAUCGGCCAGUCGCCAAAUGACUAUAUUUUAUGGCGGUCAAGCCCAUGUUUUUGACAAAGUUCACCCCGAUAAGGUCUGCUUUCUGCACUUUUUUGAUCAACCGUUUGACUGAUACAUACCUGAUCAACUGCUUUUUGUACUAUUAACUUAAACAGAAGUAUUUUCAUGUUUAUUUGACCUGAUUAGUACGCGCAGAAAAAAUGCAUCCUUCAGUAUUCCCCGAUCCACUGUUAGAGAAUCUUUAUUAUCAAACGUAAUUUUUACUAUGCUUAUGAGUGUUAUGCUAAUUCUGGAAGUUAUUUGUAUUAUUACCUCGAAGUGGAGGUUGAAUGUCAUUAUCAAGGAAGCCUUUAGGGUUUAUGAUUCAAGGAGUUUGUGCUUUUUACUGUUGGAAUUUGGACAGGAAGGGUAGUGAAGAUCCAGAAGAACAUGUGUAUUGACGAAAGCUUACCUUAAUGGUAGCUGGAAGCCAAGAGACUUUGAUUAUGGUCACUGAGCUUAAGAUCUAAAGGACUAUUUAGAAAAUUUUCUUUGAAGUUUUCUUCAAAAAACUUCCUUAUGCUGUAGGACCCAGGGUUGUGGGGAGCAAGAAUGGUUUGCAACAAAUAGUCAAGUUUUCAAAAAUUAUUUUCUGUAUUGCUGUAAUCUCACUUUCAGCUUUUUGUUGUUUUAUGCUUGUACCUGUCUACUUUCUGAGCCCUUUCAUUUCGGCAGCUCUUUCGAUAAAUUGGCGUGGAAUGUGGGUGCAAGAGAUAGGAUUUCUUUGGGAGUAAGGUUGAUUAGUUUUUGCUCCCUUUCUUUUCUUAAAAACGUGCUAUGGAUUUUGUUUGUUCACCCUUCGCCCUUUCAUUUCGGCAGCUCUUUCGAUAAAUUGGGUGGUUGUGAUUGGUUUUGUAUGAAGUCAUUGAUGGAGAUAGUCAUGUAUGGGUUAAUUCCGAAUUACUUAGACUGAAAUUGCUAUAUAUGCACCGGCCUUUUAUGUCUUGAUUCCCCAUUGUUGAAUUGUCGAGAAUUUUAAUGCUUACUGGAUGGUACUUGAAGAUUAACUCGUGGUUUGAUAGUUUUUUGAUCAAUUAUGCUAGAAAGACAUGUUGGCAGUCAUUUGGAGGGGAUACCAUUUUAUCGAUCAAGAGGCGAGUUUCCAGGACCCGAUACAAGUAGGUUUGCAGGAACUAAACGAAGUAACUCUGACUCUUUUAUGGUGUCAUCAAAGGAGAAAUUUCCGCAAGUGCAACCAGAAUCACUUGAGAGCUCACAUUUGAUGAAGGUUCGUUCUGUUUCCUUCAUGGCAUGUUAUUUUAGAAUAGGUAAAGGGAUGAGGUCUUAUGCUGGUUUAAAUCUCAUUCCUGAAGUGCAUGUUUUGAAAAUAUUAGACUCCACUAAACAAUACAAUUUACAAGAUAUUAGCUUCUUUUUUUUCUUAUUAAUACAAUCUAGUGCUGUCUGAUUCAUGUUUCCAAACAUGGAAUCACUUGAGAGCUCACAUUUGAUGAAGGUUCGUUCUGUUUCCUUCAUGGCAUGUUAUUUUAGAAUAGGUAAAGGGAUGAGGUCUUAUGCUGGUUUAAAUCUCAUUCCUGAAGUGCAUGUUUUGAAAAUAUUAGACUCCACUAAACAAUACAAUUUACAAGAUAUUAGCUUCUUUUUUUUCUUAUUAAUACAAUCUAGUGCUGUCUGAUUCAUGUUUCCAAACAUGGUAAAAAUGUUUCUAUUUAUCCUGAUACUGGGAGUUCGCUGUUCAGGUUCAGCUACUGCGACAUGGCGGGGGAGAGCGACCUUGGCUGCCAUGUGAUGAUGACAAAUCCUUUGCUAUGCAUCAAAUGAGACCAAUUUCGGCCUCUCUUAUAUCUCAAUCUUCUAGUGGCGGUAACUCCAAAUGGGAUCGAGCUAUUCCAAUGGAUCUUGGACCGACAUUACAGUAUCCUCCACGUGCUGGUCAAGUUGUACCAUUUGGGCACCAAACUCCAUCAAAUAGGUUUAAAGAUACGAAUCCUGGUCCUUCUGCCAUAUCACGAACAGCUGCUGAUGAAGGAUCUAGGACUGGAAUUAAAGGGUCUGGAAUUUUGAGUUCUAUCAAUGCAACUGGAGGUGUUUCUGAGAGACAACCUUCGGGAGUGCUCAUACGUACUGAUAAACAGAAGUCCACUCUUCACAUUUCGGAGCCAGAAUUGUCUGCUACACCCAG
rnacentral:lncRNA from 1 species